GGGGAAUAUUGCACAAUGGGCGCAAGCCUGAUGCAGCCAUGCCGCGUGUAUGAAGAAGGCCUUCGGGUUGUAAAGUACUUUCAGCGGGGAGGAAGGUGUUGAGGUUAAUAACCUCAGCAAUUGACGUUACCCGCAGAAGAAGCACCGGCUAACUCCGUGCCAGCAGCCGCGGUAAUACGGAGGGUGCAAGCGUUAAUCGGAAUUACUGGGCGUAAAGCGCACGCAGGCGGUCUGUCAAGUCGGAUGUGAAAUCCCCGGGCUCAACCUUGGAACUGCAUUCGAAACUGGCAGGCUGGAGUCUGGUAGAGGGGGGUAGAAUUCCAGUUGUAGCGGUGAAAUGCGUAGACAACUCGAGGCACAACGGUGGCGAAGGCCCCCCCCUGAACAAAGACUGACGCUCAGGUGCGAAAGCGUGGGGAGCAAACA
rnacentral:rRNA from 1 species